UCAAGACAAGAAUUUCUUGAAGCAAGACAAUUGGUUUUCUUCAGAAAUAAAUUCUUGGCUCAAGAAAAUAUUUCUUGAGUCAAUAUAAAUUUUCUAUCAGUGCGGGCUAGUGACAAUUGGGCUGUAAUGAGCUCUAUACAGUAAAAGAGAAGUUGCGCAUGCGCGGAUUGAUCUUCAUACAGUCCAGUAACUCUGUUGUCAGCUGUAGUUUCGAGAAGUUUGCCGAGCGCAUGUUAUGCAGAAAAGAUAAUACAAAAUCAAAAGCGAAUUCUGACGGUAUGUCUUGGUUACUUAAUAAGAAAUAAAGUUUUGAAAAAUAGAUUUGGAUAAUGAUAAUUCUGAUAGCGAAAAAUGUGACAUACCAAUUAAUCACAGGAUGAACGAGUCCGAGGGUAAUGGAAUGUAACGAGGAGUGAACUUUCACAUUUCAUCCACGGAGGUCGCAAUCACUGCAGCAGCGGAGGGCCUUUUUUUCGCGCUGUCGGAGAUCGUCCAUAACUUGAAAAAUGUUUAAUUUUUUUUUCCAAAAAUUUCCCUGUAUUUUCUAAAAACAUGUAUAAAUAUA